UCGGGAAUUUUGGGCAAUGGGGGAAACCCUGACCCAGCAACGCCGCGUGAAGGAUGAAGUAUUUCGGUAUGUAAACUUCGAAAGAAUAGGAAGAAUAAAUGACGGUACUAUUUAUAAGGUCCGGCUAACUACGUGCCAGCAGCCGCGGUAAUACGUAGGGACCAAGCGUUGUUCGGAUUUACUGGGCGUAAAGGGCGCGUAGGCGGCAUGACAAGUCACUUGUGAAAUCUCUGGGCUUAACCCAGAACGGUCAAGUGAUACUGUCGCGCUAGAGUGCAGAAGGGGCAAUCGGAAUUCUUGGUGUAGCGGUGAAAUGCGUAGAUAUCAAGAGGAACACCUGAGGUGAAGACGGGUUGCUGGGCUGACACUGACGCUGAGGCGCGAAAGCCAGGGGAGCAAACGGGAUUAGAUACCCAUGUAGUCCCUGAGCGGGCUGGCAAGGCGCAU
rnacentral:rRNA from 1 species